rnacentral:lncRNA from 1 species
GACGCGCGGCCCAGCCCAACCCCGCAACCGCCGCCGCCACCCCACAAUGCACCGCGCCGCCCGGGCGCCAGCAGGCCGAGCCUCGCCGGGAGCGCCCUCGGCGGUGAAGCCGCCUGCGCCAUCUUGACCGAGGGCAGCCUUCCGCUAUUUCCGCUCUUUCUCCGAAAGAGACCGCCAUCUUCGAUUGGCCUGGGCCAAAAAUAUUCAAGACCCUCGGAUUGCAGUAGGUUCCCACUCCCCAUUAGAAAAGAAGAUUAAGGUGGUGUCCAUUCUCCAGAGGUGAGGAAGUUGCUAGCCCAAAAGACUCAACAGGAGCGUGAAA